rnacentral:rRNA from 1 species
GGAGGGUGCAAGCGUUGUCCGGAAUCACUGGGCGUAAAGGGCGCGUAGGCGGCUAGGUAAGGAGGGGGUGAAAUCCUGCGGCUCAACCGCAGGGCUGCCUUCUAAACUGUCGAGCUCGAGCACGGUAGAGGCAGAUGGAAUUCCCGGUGUAGCGGUGGAAUGCGUAGAGAUCGGGAAGAACAUCAGUGGCGAAGGCGGUCUGCUGGGCCGUUGCUGACGCUGAGGCGCGACAGCGUGGGGAGCAAACAGG